rnacentral:misc_RNA from 1 species
GGAAGGAUCAUUAACACUAAGUCCCAAAUUAUUAAACGCGUUACAUGCUUACGGUGGCUUUCAUCCGUGGCUCGGUUCUUGUAUCGGGUUACAGCCUGACGAACCUAGUUAACGCUCGAGAGGGUAUGCUCGUUCAAAAAAGCAAACAUCCGAGAAAUGAAAACGGAAAGUGGCGUUGCUUUUGACGUUGGUGAUCCAUGAUGACUUGAAGUGAAACGGAAAGUGGUGUCGCUCGAUGAUGCUGGUGUAUGUAGAACGAUGACGACUUGUGAGGAGUCCGAGUAAAAUGCUGGCUGAGCUGUAGACUGCUUGAUGACGUUUGGGAGGCCCAAUGAUGCUGAAAGUGGUGUCGUUCGAUGUCGCUGGUGUAUGUAGAACUAUGACGACUUGUAAUGAGUCCGAGUGACAUGCUGGCUGAGCUGUAGACCGCUUGAUGACGCGAAGGACCAAUGAUUUGCUUCGAGUCGGAGUGAGACGUUAAAAGUGACGUUCCGUCCCCGAUUAAAGACGCUUACUGACCACUGACGGCUCGUCAUGUAAUGUGUAUGAGCCCGAGUGAAAGCGAGAGACGGGACGGUGCUGCGUUGGGAGGUUGAUGAGAGGGGGCCUUUCGAGGUUCCCUUGGCCGACGAUGAACAACGUGGCCCAGACUGUUGCUAGUGAUGGUUGGGAAACCAGAAGCGACUAGUUCUGAACACUUUAUGAUGUUGGACUCGGGUACACAUACCCGACCACAUUCACAACGAAUGUAACACCCCAAGCGUAUUUACGCUUAUUCUAUGGGUUUAGUCUCAACUAUUUAAUUUUAGUUGAGUAAAAGAUGUCCCUUCAUUGAGAUGUCUUUUAACUAAAAAACUCUGUACAACUCUUAGCAAUGGAUGUCUUGGUUUCCGCCUCGAUGAAGAACGCGGCAAGAUGCGCUACGUGAUGCGAAUUGCAGAAUUCAGUGAAUCAUCAACUCUUCGAACGCAACUGGCACAGAGGCUGGUUUUCGGACUGGUUUUCUGGGCUCAGCUUGUCAGAGGCAAACAUAUAUCUCUUAAAUGCCAGUGCCCAGCGGACUAGCGAUGGUUCGUUGUGGUCUUGUGCCUUUCGUCACUGCCUCUUUGAGGGAGGUCUUGUGGCGGUGUUUGAGCGUCAUUUUCGAACUCGAAAAUGUCGCUUUAAAGAUACUCGAUAAGGGUAUUAUUUGGAACGAACAGAGGAAAUGACGGAAGUGUCGACUCUGAACAAACCUGCUGUCUGGCGGGGGUGACAUGAGGGAGUAGAAAAUUCUUGGGCUAUAAUAUGUGGGAGGCUUUCGUACCUGCCCCCUCCGAGGAUUAUUCGAAACCGAUCGCCUCUUUCUGGGCUAGUAGUCCGCAGCAGAGAAAAAUUUAAUAUAAAUUCGACUGCUGUAGCUAAGGCCUGGGUAGAUGCAACUGAGACCAGGUGUACUGAUGAAGCCGAUACGUAACGUUGUUUUUCUCAAAAAAAGGUAGUGAUUCUUCUAGCUACUUUUUUUGAAAAAAAAUUAUUUAUUGUUAUGCCCUGACAUCUGUGGGACUACCCGCUGAAUUUAAGCAUAUUAUUAAGCGGAGGAAAGAAACUAACAAGGAUUCCCCUAGUAACGGCGAGUGAAGCGGGAAAAGCUCAAGUUUAAAAUCGGUGUUCCGUAAGGUCACUGAGUUGUAAUCUAAAGAGGUGUGGUCAGCGUGUGACCCGGGUAUAACUCCUUUGGAAAAGGGGAUCAUAGAGGGUGAUAAUCCCGUCUUUGACUCGGAGCUCGCCGCGUACGACACAUCCUCAUAGAGUCGGGUUGUUUGGGAUUGCAGCCCUAAAUGGGUGGUAAACUUCAUCUAAAGCUAAAUAUUGGCGGAAGACCGAUAGCGAACAAGUAGCGUGAGCGAAAGAUGAAAAGAACUUUGAAAAGAGAGUUAAAAAGUACCUGAAAUUGCUAAGAGGUAAACGAUGGAAACUAGUAAUUCCUGGGGCUAUACUUACUUGUCGCCAUGCGACGGAUGCUUGGCACUGAGCGUGAGCCGGAGCUGAGUGUUCUAAAAGCGUGUGUGGUGAGGUCCUGUAGUCUUGGGCAAGUCAGGAUCAGUUGUAUCCGUCGGAGAAAGCUUGAUGGGAAGGUUCUGGAUGAUUGGGGAUGCUCAAUUGCUCAGAUUAGCCCGUGAGCCAUACGGUGGAUUAGACUGAGGAAAAGACAAGGCACCCCUUUAUUGGGAUUGGCGCCUCGGGUCUGCUGCGCCAGUGGGCUUGGACGGCAAAGCUGUGCUGCCUGUGAAGCGUGGUACUGCCUGGGGAUACGCUAUUCGUGCCUUCGCGACGCCUGACGAAAUGGUUUUCAUUGACCCGUCUUGAAACACGGACCAAGGAGUCUAACAUCUAUGCGAGUAUUUGGGUGAUUCAAACCCUGAUGCGUAAUGAAAGUAAAGGAGGCCUUGUUGCUUCUGAGGUAGGAACCGUUCGAUAAGGAUGGGGCACUAUCGACCGAUCAACCACUUGUGGUAGAUUCGAGUUUGAGCAUAUCUGUUAGGACCCGAAAGAUGGUGAUCUAUGCCUGGCUAGAAUGAAGCCAGUGGAAACACUGGUGGAAGUUCGUAGCGAUACUGACGUGCAAAUCGUUCGUCGAAUCUGGGUAUAGGGGCGAAAGACUAAUCGAACCAUCUAGUAGCUGGUUCCCUC